UGAACCAGUUAAUCUGCAUUCUUCACAAUC
rnacentral:piRNA from 1 species